UCUUGCUGUGUAGCUUAUACUUGAGGCCAGCAACGUACGUAGACAUAUCUUUGAGUGUGAAGAGCGUAUCCAGCAAAAGAAACAGAAAAAUGGCAUCACUCAAACCUGAAAAACCUGUUGCAGGCGCUCAACCACCUCCACAGGUCAAGAAAGAGCCUACAAAACCUGCUACUGGGAGCACAGCUACACCCAAAGCUCCUGCCUCCAAACAAGCCCCUAAGAAGCCUGAGCAAAGGCCUCGGGAGCCUAAGAAGAAGGCAGCAGGAACCAAGUGAGCAGAGACUAAGAUGAGGACGACAAGGCGUGAAUUUGAAGGGCCUGUGAAGAUGUCAAUUCAUGCCGGUCCUCCGUAAUAAUGUUCAUCAAUAUUACAGAAGUUGCUUCUGUUGUAUCCAUGUGUCUCCUUUUAGGCUUGGCCUACUAAAUAAAAACAUAACUAUUUCAAUAAUGAGUUAAUUAGUACUUGUCGAUGAUCUCUUUGGUCGAUCGAUCGUGUGGUUUGGUACGUAUUUUGCACAGUACACACGAGAAAACCGAAAAUGAAAUGCAAAUAAAGCACAUGAUAUCUCUGAAGUUAAUAAGAAAGCAGCUCAUGCAAUAAGCACACGUCACUGCAGCAACAUUGCUUUUUAGGGAAGCUCAUAAAAUAAACACAAAUUGCUGCAACAAAAUUACUUUUUAGAGACAGAAAUUUUUCGUUCCAAAAAAGUUUCCAUUUCAUCUCUCAAAGUAUUAAUUUUGGAACGAAAAAAUUUCAUCCCUAGUUCAUUCCAAUAGAUCUGUCCUAGAAAGUCUUUUGGGACGAAAUUUCAUCCUAAAAAUUAUUUUUUUAGAUAAAGUUUGUCAAAACCAUUUGAAAGUUUUUGAACGGAUUUUUUUGGGACGAAUUCGUUCUUGUCCUUAAUAGUUGCGCGUUUGAACGUUAAAAACUCCAUUUAAAGGAUUUUCUUAGAUGAUUUUUUUCCCCAUUCUUAAUAGUUGUUUGAACGCCAACAAUUCCAUUCGAACGGUCUUUUUGGGAUGAAGUUUUUUUCGUCCCUAUAGUUGUUUGAAUGCCAACAAUUCCAUUCGAAAUGACAAUUUUUUUUGUCCCUAAUAGUUGUUCCAACGCCAACAAUUGCAUUGGAAUUGAUUUUUUGGAACGGAGUUUUUUUGUCCCUAAUACAUGUUUGAACAAUAACAAUACCUUUUUUUAGACAAUAUUCAUAUCACUUCAUUUUUUACGUUCAAACUUAAUUUCUUCCAUACGAUCAUUGACAAUAAAAUAUCUUUAUAUAUAAAUGAAGAUUUCAUUGUCCCAAUAUUAUUAAG